rnacentral:rRNA from 1 species
GGUGACCUGCGGAAGGAUCAUUU